rnacentral:rRNA from 1 species
GACGAACGCUGGCGGCGUGCUUAACACAUGCAAGUCGAACGGUAAGGCCCUUCGGGGUACACGAGUGGCGAACGGGUGAGUAACACGUGGGUGAUCUGCCCUGCACUUCGGGAUAAGCCUGGGAAACUGGGUCUAAUACCGGAUAGGACUCCUGCCUGCAUGGGUGGGGGUGGAAAGCUUUUGCGGUGUGGGAUGGGCCCGCGGCCUAUCAGCUUGUUGGUGGGGUGAUGGCCUACCAAGGCGACGACGGGUAGCCGGCCUGAGAGGGUGACCGGCCACACUGGGACUGAGAUACGGCCCAGACUCCUACGGGAGGCAGCAGUGGGGAAUAUUGCACAAUGGGCGCAAGCCUGAUGCAGCGACGCCGCGUGAGGGAUGACGGCCUUCGGGCUGUAAACCUCUUUCAGCACAGACGAAGCGCAAGUGACGGUAUGUGCAGAAGAAGGACCGGCCAACUACGUGCCAGCAGCCGCGGUAA